UUACCUCCACAGUUUAUUAUUCUAUUCAUUUUUCCUUUGAUAUAAACAACAACAAAGAUAUACACACACAUAAAUCAAACAGUUCACAAAGUUAAAUUCAAGUAAAGGAGACAAACACGGUGAUCAAACCUUAAGAUUUGUUUCGAAAGAGGUUGAUUCAAACACCACUUUAUUUCAAUUCAUGUUAUAUUUCAGCAUGUAUAAAUGUGAUUAUAUGUUAUAUGUGACUCCUUGUGGGGUUUAAAUAUGAGCUGGUGGCGUAGUAGUGCACCAAAUGUUGAUAUGUUGCCGGAUCAUCGAUGUGCUUACUCAUCAAAGUUUGAAUGAUAAAAAUAUAUGCUUAAAGUAUACUAUGUUUGAAUUUAAUAUGUUUAUGAUUCUAUUGAGUGUUUCUAUGAAAGACUCAGCCCCCAACAAUUUCAAAUUAAGAUGAUUAAUUGCAGCAUAGAAGAAAGCGGUGGUGCUUUGAUUUUAAAUCUGAAUGACAUCAUUUGAGUUAUGUUUUGUUCGAAUAAUUGUUUAAAUUUGAAAUAUUUUAAGUUAGUAUUUAUUGACAGUUUGAAGAUUGAAUUGUUGAUAAAAUUAUUUCAUGAUUGAUAGAAUAUUUUUAUUGUGGUUUAUUUAAUUUAUUUGAGUUGCAACACUAGGUUUUAAAUAUUUUCAGUUUCUGCCCAUAUGUUUAAAAAUUCAUCCAGAUCGAAAUACUUGAAAUUUUGGGGUGAUUCUAGAUGGAGAAGAUGGCCACAUGAGUUAUCGAUCUCUUAGAUUUAGAAUAAUGAAUUUUGGUUGUGUAAGACUCAAGUUAUAGAUGUUUUCCUGAGAGCUGCCAAAAUGUACCUAAGAACAAAUAGAUCCGAUUUAAAAUAUAAAAAAAUAAAAACCUAUCUGUCGAUUGAAUUUAUAUACAAAACUUUAACAAGUAAUUUCUCCUAUGUGUAAGAUAUCUACAGUUUAAAUUUUGGAUUUCAUUUAAUUGUCGAACGAACUUUAUUUUAGAAAGCUAUAGAAGAUGAAAGUCUUAACUUUUCGAAAGAAAAUUUCUUUAGUUUGUAAUCAUUUUCCAAAGCCGUAAAGCUUUUAGUCCAAGUUAAUAUUCCACAUUCUAUGAACAAUCUAGGUAGAAUUUUACAAAUAUAAGAUUUUAGUAAUGUUACGAGCUUGGGGUGUUGCAACACUAACAUAUCCACGUGCAUUAAUUCACUCUCCAUUCUUCAUUCUUUCUUGAAGAACCUCCAGUUUUGUUUUCCCAAUCAAGAAAUUGUUUGAGAUUGAACGAUCCAAUCUAGAAUAGAAAUAGGGAACAAGUACAAGAAACAAAAGAAAACAAAUUGAAAUAAUAUCAAUAGUUAAUUGUAGUAUUUGACUAUGUGAAAAACUCAUGCCUUAGCCUAAUUGUUUACUUGUUUGAUUCCUAAAUUAAUUUCCAACACUUUGUUUUUAGGAGAAUUCAAACAUUGACACUUUUGAAGUGAAGUUGGGUAUUCGAUAUUUCAACGAGCCAUUAUGCAUUACAACUUUGCAUUUCCAUUUUAUAAAGGAUGAACGAAUCCAGAACGCUCAGUCAACACUUGAAAGAUCGGCUAGCUAGCUACAAUAUCAAUUUAAAUUUUAGAGUUACUGAGUAUACAUUCUAGAUUACCAAUUUAUUCGACCUUACGUGCGAAAUUAUACUAACCAAAGCAACAUGUCACUUUAAUUAGUUUCUAGAUGGUUAAACAUACAAUUCAAUUUAAUCUUACUAUUAAUGCCGCAGUUUGUAAUAAAUUAUGGAAAGCAGUAAAAACACAAACUUUGAUGAUAGAGAAACCGGACAUGGAAAAAACUCCGGGACCAAACCAGUUACCUUCACUAUAGACAAUUCAGGGAUACAUAGCAAUUCCAAUAACUCCUGUACCCAAUCAGACACAAUGUCAUAGUCUCACGAUCUACUGUCAUAGAUGCUUCUAGCCUACUAGACCUCCUAAUCUACCACCCGUAGCCGCCUACUACCUUAGAUACCUCUAACCUUAUGCUAGACUUCCUGAUCUACCUUCUGCAGCCCAAUCUACUGUCUCCUACAGCCUCUUGGUCUUAUGCUGAAUGUCUCUCCAAGUGGAAGACCAAGAACCGCAUGUUCUUGUGCUUGUAACUGCACUUCAAUCUACAUCUUUCAAUUCCCCAAUGAAAGAGUCACUUCCUUAAUAGAUUAAGGAAACCUAGUGCUUUGUAUUGAGAACCUUGAUGUUUUCCCAAAAACUGGUUGUUGGAUCACAAGAUGAAUAUGGUUGAAUCCUCAAUGAAUUAUGUCUUGGAUCUCUUGAACACAGAUGAGUAGAUAUUGUAUAAUGAAAGAAUAAUAUGGCAACCCCGUAUCUCACGUCCCAAACUUUUCUUUUUAUAUUUGGGGUUAAAUAAGUGUUCUGGGCCAUAUGAAAUUCUCUAAAAUGCGACCUAGGGUUUGGUCACGUAACACUAUCGCUCGAGCGACGUCUAGCAAGAAGCGAGCGAUAGCUUCUCCGCUCGAGCGACGCUUGGGCGAACAGCGGGCAACUAUGGUUUUGCUUCAUUCGCUCGAGCAACAACUUGGCGAGUCUUCUACCUUGUUCCAAAUUCAACCCUAGCAUAAACCAUCUAUACAAAUUGCAAUCCAAGUCCCUGACUUUUACAACAUGUUCAAUUAAGUCCAUUUUGUUCACAGAAUCGCCAAUUACAAUAUAAAACCUAACAAACCCCCCUUUGGCAUUCUGUGACAAAACUGUACAUAUAAAUUUAGGACUAGAAGAUAAAAAACUAUUCUACCCAGUUGACGCCGGGUAGGAUAGUGAUUAUCCCAUUGGCGUGUUGUAGUAGAUGAUUCGUAAGAAAAGAACGAUAGAAAAUGCCCAAAAAAUCAGAGAAAAUACUCUGAAUUCAACUCAAUAUUAUUAAUAAUGCAGAAUGAUCAAAACUAACCCACAAGCCGAGUUAAAUAGCUGCGAAAUAUGAAAUUAUGGGAAAAUUACCAAAAAUGGCAAAAUCCCAAAAUUAUACCAAAACAAAAUAUUAAGUAAAAGAAGUAAGUUUCCAAAAAUUUGGCUCAAUUCGAGCUUUCUAACAUAUGAAAAAAAGGAAAUGAAAUAUUACCAUAAAUAGUAAAAAAAAUAACAUAAAAUUGAAUUUUGAAAAGGAAAACAGUGGAUUUUGGGCUCGAAAUUGACAUCCACCGAGCAUAGCUUGCGGCCACAACGUGCGUGCCGAAGAGAGCUUUUCGGAUUGGGGUCAUAAUAGCAAUUCCGAUAACCGUAGCCAAAGGUAUGGCCAAAUUACCAAAGACGCGUCGAAUUCCCCCAAUAAAGGAAAUAAUGGUAAUUCACUUUCCAUCUUUGUGCCGAUCCGCCAUCUCAUUGUAUCUCAGCGCCAUCAUUGUGCUAUCUGACAAAUCAGCAUCACUUGACUCGGAUCCUCCUGCAUCACCAGUAUACCCAAUUGCCGAGUCUUGCGCUCCUUGUUGUACUUAUUUCCUGAAAUCUAAAAACUCAAAUACCCAAUGUAAAAGCACUUGAUAUAGGAGAUAUAAAAAUUAAAGCACUUAAUCACAAAUGCCAAUUUGAGGCGUGACCUUGAUGUCAACCAAAACACCAGCAUCACUAAACAUCAAAACUUAACAGAAAUGUAUGAGAUAUGGAAUGCAAUGCGAUGCUCCCUCAUACUGCAAGCUCUCAUGAAUUUGAUGCAAUAAUAUAAUGUAUCUAUGUCUCACCCCAAUGACCCCUAGACAUAGGGAAGAUGCAAUAUGUAAAAUGUCAAUCAAUCAGUGAAAAGAAUGUACAUGUAAAUGCAAAUUCGCUCUACGCUCUUAUUUUCUCCCCGUCAGUUAUACAUUUUUCUCCCCCUUUUUGUUACAAAUGCUGAAGGGAAUACUAUCAAAUUCAAACAGAGCAAUAACAUAUAAUAACUUAAAAAUUCAGUCGAUAGUAUGCAUAAGUAAAAUCAAUAGACUAUAAACCUUCUCACAUACGCAGUUCAGAUCAGAAUGGAGUAAAUAGUACAAGUGACUCAUGUAUGUAAAGUGUCACUAAUCCAAUGCAAGCAGGACUCCAAACCUUAAUUUUGUGAGAAGAGACAUGCUAAUCACUACUAAUAAGUAUAUUCCCCUACUAGUGAAAGUCAAAUCACAAAAGUACAGUAGGACCUAUACUUACUAUUUUUCUUAUUUUUCUGCCCCUUGCUUUGAGCAUUUAUAUUUUUCAAUGUUCCACAUUUUUUAGCUCAUCACAAUUUCAUAUUUUUCACAUUUUUUUCAAGUUCAUUUAUUUUUUCAUCUUAAGUGCAGGUUCUUCUCCAUUAGGUGACUGAAAUGACCCCUGUAGUGAGCUUUUUGUCGGUUAACCCAAAUCAGUUGACCAUAGACACCAGGUUCUAAGAGACCCCGCAAGCUUAAUUGAUCGAGUCAAAUAGGCCCUGAAGAAGAGCAUCGAGAUAAUAAGCAUUUACUUGGGGGAAUUUUUUUGGGUUUAGGUCUACUAAAAGUGGUCAAUUCAUGUUCGAAGUUACCCAAUUAAGAUGUAACAGCCAUCCCAAAUCUCACACACGCGGUAAAGUCUCACUAACAAAUUUAUAGUAGGUACAGUGUAUAUGAUACAUGAAGACACCUAUACUAACCAAUCCAAAGUGACCUAAACAAGUAAUGGAAAUUAUUUUACAGCCUAUCAAUUUCAACUCAUACAUGAUCACAACAUGUAAGUUCAAGAAACAUAUGUCAUCCUGUAGAAGUGUUCCAUAACCAACUAUUUUUGUGUUUUUCAAUUUUUCAAUUUUUUUUUUUUUUGCGCUUUUCAUUUUUACAAAAGUGAAUGCUCACACAUAAAAGAAAAACUAAAAUCAAGCACACAAAACAAGCUAAAAAUAUGUAUGCACCAAAGGAAACCAAUGUAAAUGCAUAUGUAUGAAACCAAAAAUUAUGCUAAAUAAAAAUAAAAUAAAAUAAACACACAAGUGAUGCAUGCACAAAUGAUGUGGCAGUUAAGACCAAGCAUGCAUAAAAAAUAGAAAUAUCUAAUCAUCUAGGUACAUAAGUGCUCUUCCCUUGAGAGUACCGUGAUCUGCUACAAGAUUAGGCAGAUCACUCUUCUUCACCUAAACCUGUCUAGUGGAAGAAUAGUUCCCAGAUAGUUGUGUCACCAAUUUGGUCAAACAAUUCACUUGAUCAGUAAGGAAUACAAUCUGACCAAUAGACACCUGAUUCUUGUUCGUUCUCAAGUUCGUGUUUUUCCUUUUGUUCAGACGGAUAUGACCUAACUCACCACAAUGAAAGAAAGUAGGGAUAAACCUAGGACCUAUGUUAUGCGAAUGUUGAAGUCUAUUCCUAAGUCAACGGGGCCUACACUAUCUGGUAGACCUUUGUCCUACAAAUUCCUUUUCCUUAAGUUCUUGGUUAGGUAUAUGUUUAGGCUGGUUAGUGGCGGGGACAAAUGUGGUCUUAGACAUGCUAGCUACAUCAUUAUCUUUUUCCUUAUAUCCUAGACCUCUCCUAUUUCCAGCCUAGCUGCCUAUACCUAGCAUGUUAUCUAACUUAGACGACCCACUGUUGAAGGCAAAAAGUUGUUUACAACCUGAAUUUCUAAAGUCUCAUUCAUAGCGGUCAACUUGCUGACUUUUCUAGGGGACCUCUCAAGCUCACUGGUGAGAUUCUUAACCUGAGACUCUAAAGCUUCAUUCGUCGACUUAAGCUUACUCAGGAUAGAGGAAGAUUCCUUAACGUACGCUUCUAACUUAGCUUUAUCCAAUUUCAGCUUCUGAACAGUCGCCCUUAAGGCCUUAUUUUUACUGAGAAUUUUUAGGCUCUCUUGAUGCAUUUUUUUCAUAUGUCUCUUAGAUAUCUUCCUCACUUCCAAACUCACUUUUAGCUUCCUCACCACUAUCUAUGUCAUCAUUUUUCUCACCCUGGUCGGAUCCACUCGUAGCCCGAGCAACAAAGGUAACCGCCUGAGUUCCCUCGUGUGUGGUUUAUAAGAUAUCCCAACCUUCUUUCACAACCUCACACAUGGACACUCUCCUAAACUCCUUGGGAAAAAUCGUCAUAAAGAGGGCAUGAAGGGCUUUACUAUUCCAAUUGCAACUAUCUAGUUCAGCCUUAGACCAAUUUUCUGUGGGGGUGGAAGUAAUGGCAUUGUUAACCAUGGUACUAGGGCAAACCAACUGUUAGCUACACUCAACCAAAUCCUUUCAUCCAUAGAUUUCAAGAAAGCCCUCAUCCUAAUUUUCCAACACACAUAAUUACUACCAUCAAAAUAGGGCAGCACACUCUAUUAAGUACUCAUCUAGACAAUUGUAAGGUCAAGACUCAUGUUUAAGCUCUGAUAUCGCUUGAACAAAUCCAAAACGUUCAGUAAACACUUGAAAGAUCGGCUAGCUAGCUACAAUGCAAAUUCAAAUUUUAGAGUUACCGAGUAUACAUUUUAAGAUUACCAAUUUGUUCGACCUUACAUGCGGAAUUAUUCUAACCAAAGCAACACGUCACGAUAAUUAGUUUCUAGCUGGUAAACAUACAAUUCAAUUUAAUCCUAUGUUUAAAUGUUCCAGUUUGUAAUAAAUUAUGGAAAACAGUAAAAAUACAAAUUUUGAUGUCGAAGAAACCCAACGUGGGAAAAACUUCGGGACAAAGCCAGUUAUCUCCACUAUAGACAGUUCAGGGAAUAUACAACAACUGCAAUAACUCCUGUACCGACUAAGACCAGCUGUCACAUCUCACGAUCUACUGUCAUAGAUGUCUCUAGCCUACUAGACCUCCUGAUCUACCUCUCGUAGCCUCCUGCUACUGUAGAUACCUCUAGCCUCCUGCUAGACUUCUUGAUCUACCUUUUGUAGCCCAAUCUACUAUCUCCUACAGCCUCCUGGUCUUACGUUGAAUGUCUCUCCAAGUGGAACACCAAGAACCGCCUAUUCUUGUGCUUGUAACUGUGCUUCAAUCUACCUCUCUCAGUUUUCUAAUGAAAUAGUCCCCUCCUCAAUAGAUUAAGGAAGCCUAGUUCUUUGAAUUGAGAACCUUGAUAUUUUCCCAAAAACUGGUUGUCGUAUCACAAGAUGAAUAUGGUUGAAUCCUCCAAUGAAUUAUGUCUUGGAUCUCUUGAACACAGAUGAGUAGAUAUUGUAUAAUGAAAGAAUAGUACCCUAUAUCUCACAUCCCAGACUUUUCUUUUUACACUUGGGGUAAAUAAGUGUCCUGGGCCGUACAAAAUUCUCCAAAAUGCAAUUUCAGAGUUGGUCACGUAACACUGUCGCUCAAGCAAGAAGAGAGCGAUGACUUCUUCGCUCGAGUGACGCUUGGGCGAACAGUGGGCAACAAUGGUUCCUGCUUCAUCCGUUUGAGCAACAACUUGGCGAGCAGCUAACGAAAAUUCGACCAGUCUUCUACCUUGUUCCAAACUCAACCCUUGCCUAAACCAUCUAUACAAAUUGUAACCCAAGUCCCUGACUUUUACAAUGUGUUCAAUUAAGUCCCUUUUGUUCACAGAAUCGCCAAUUACAAUAUAAAACCUAAUAAGGGAUAACACACUGUAAUUUUUAUUUAGCAAUAAUGUUUGUUGAUGCAUAAAUUGAAGAACCAAUCGAUUUCAUAUCUUUGGUGCAACAAGUAAUUUUGUUCAUUGGGUAAACAAUUUAAUUUGUUUUCUAGCAGAUUUUGACUAACUAAAUCUAAACUCGAUCAUUUCUAAAUGGGUUGGUUCAGUUCAAAAUUGAAACGAUGAUGGAACCGCAUGGAUCUAUACCAACGGUUUCUAAACAAUGAAUUUAGGUUUGCUUUUGCGGUUUAGCAUUCUUUUUCUCUCCUCUAUCUUUUACGAUAUGUUGGCUUAUUUCAGACUUGUUUGUACAUAAUUGUGUCGGAUGAAAGUUGCUUGCUUCGACUUGAAAGCAUGGCCAUUUUAUUGUUGGAGGUGAAAAGUUGAAUUAGAGAAGAGAAAUAGACUUGAGUUUUGAAUUGAAAGUACUAGCAUGAAAUUGUAGAAAUAUUUAAAAUAUUAAAUUUUAGUAUUAACAUUUUUUUGCAAUAUUUUAAGAAAAUUAAGAACAAGAUUGCAAAAAUGAGUUGACCUUGUUGAAUUUGCUUGGUUCCAUUUCUCUUUCGUAAAAUGAUGAAAUAUUUUUUCGCUAGCCACAUUUAUUUUGUUUGAAGCAAGUAUAGAUUCGAGGUCGAAUCCUUUCGAAGAGGGAGGGAAUGAUGUCAUCCAAAAAAUGAAGGCAAGUAUGAGUAAGGAUCCGUUGAUCGUUGAAGAGGGGUCAAUGACUAGAUCACGAAAAAAGCAGUUAAAGAAGAGACGAAAUUAUUUGUGCAAGCUACAAUAGACUAAACAUUGAUCUUGGCAAGUAAAGGAGUAAGUUUCAUGGUUGGCUGGAAAGAGGAAUCGCUAUGGAUCAACUUGAUUCAAGUCACAAACGAAGGAGUUGCGAAACUACACUAUGCAACCACAUAGUGUAAUGGGGUAUGCAGUUGUAAAUCUGCAUGCAGAAACUUUUAGAAAGGAACUAAGGUGAUCUAUGCGACCACAAAGGAUAGAAAUAUGCGGCUGCAUAAUACAUUCCGGGCACGAUAUUUUUCCAAUUUUGUGAGAUCUUUUAUUUAAGUUAAAACUCUAGUUUUAUGGUAAUUUUUAGUAUGUUUAGAACUUAAUUCCGUUUUUGCUAGGAUUUUAUGAAUUUCCUAUAAAUAG
rnacentral:lncRNA from 1 species